UUAGAAUCCUGAGCCACCCAUGUAAGCAGUACCAAUGCCCUGAGGCUACAAUGACAUGAAAAGCUCAAACUAGCUCCGCUACAACAGAAGACCAAAGGAGAAGCCCUGAGAUUACAAAAAGACAUGCACAAGCUCCCUCCAUACUGUCUCUCUAAUGAAAAAGUUUGAGUGGGAACCACACAAAUACUUUGAGGCUAUAUUAUCCCCUACAUACAAUAAUUUUUUUUAAUGAUAUGGAGUCUGACUCUGUCACCAGGCUGGAAUGCAGCGGCAUGAUUUUGGCUCACUGCAACCUCCACCUUCCGGGUUCAAGCAAUUCUCCUGCCUCAGCCUCCUGAGUAGUUGGGACUACAGGAGAAUCUUCUAAAACAUAAAAUACUAUUCAAAAGAACACUAUAUAAAACAGAGAAACAGAAAAUGCUUCGAUUAAAGUGAAUAUGCAGUGGCACGUCUUCCUUUUUGCCUGUGAUACCUGGCAUCGCUUGAAGGAGCAGCAGAGCUCCAAGGAACACCCUUUGCAAACUUCUUUAAAGUUCAUAUCAUCGUCAUUCAUCUCGCUUUUCCUUCUCACAUCAAGGAUCUAUACAACGCUGUUCAUCCCCUCUACUGCAUAUUUCUCGGAUCUAUCUGAGGUCCCAGAUCCCACUGACUCUUCAUCCUCACAGCCACUGCUGGGUCUGGGUCCCCGUAAGUUCUAUCUGGAAGUUUCAAUACAAUCUUUCUUGAUGUGCUCCACAUUGUUACGGAAAUGAGUUCUCACACACCCCUGCUUUGAAGAGA
rnacentral:lncRNA from 13 species